rnacentral:rRNA from 1 species
GAUGAACGCUGGCGGCGUGCCUAAUACAUGCAAGUCGAGCGAACAGACGAGGAGCUUGCUCCUCUGACGUUAGCGGCGGACGGGUGAGUACCACGUGGAUAACCUACCUAUAAGACUGGGAUAACUUCGGGAAUCCGGAGCUAAUACCGGAUAAUAUAUUUAACCGCAUGGUUCAAUAGUGAAAGACGGUUUUGCUGUCACUUAGAGAUGGAUCCGCGCCGCAUUAGCUAGUUGGUAAGGUAACGGCUUACCAAGGCGACGAUGCGUAGCCGACCUGAGAGGGUGAUCGGCCACACUGGAACUGAGACACGGUCCAGACUCCUACGGGAGGCAGCAGUAGGGAAUCUUCCGCAAUGGGCGAAAGCCGGACGGAGCAACGCCGCGUGAGUGAUGAAGGUCUUCGGAUCGUAAAACUCUGUUAUUAGGGAAGAACAAAUGUGUAAGUAACUAUGCACGUAUUGACGGUACCUAAUCAGAAAGCCACGGCUAACUACGUG